rnacentral:rRNA from 1 species
UACAGAGGUCUCAAGCGUUGUUCGGAUUCAUUGGGCGUAAAGGGUGCGUAGGCGGCGCGGUAAGUCGGGUGUGAAAUCUCGGAGCUUAACUCCGAAACUGCACUCGAUACUGCCGUGCUUGAGGACUGGAGAGGGAGACUGGAAUUUACGGUGUAGCGGUGAAAUGCGUAGAUAUCGUAAGGAAGACCAGUGGCGAAGGCGGGUCUCUGGACAGUUCCUGACGCUGAGGCACGAAGGUCAGGGGAGCAAACGGG